rnacentral:rRNA from 1 species
AAUGGGUCAGCGACUUAUAUUCUGUAGCAAGGUUAACCGAAUAGGGGAGCCGAAGGGAAACCGAGUCUUAACUGGGCGUUAAGUUGCAGGGUAUAGACCCGAAACCCGGUGAUCUAGCCAUGGGCAGGUUGAAGGUUGGGUAACACUAACUGGAGGACCGAACCGACUAAUGUUGAAAAAUUAGCGGAUGACUUGUGGCUGGGGGUGAAAGGCCAAUCAAACCGGGAGAUAGCUGGUUCUCCCCGAAAGCUAUUUAGGUAGCGCCUCGUGAAUUCAUCUCCGGGGGUAGAGCACUGUUUCGGCAAGGGGGUCAUCCCGACUUACCAACCCGAUGCAAACUGCGAAUACCGGAGAAUGUUAUCACGGGAGACACACGGCGGGUGCUAACGUCCGUCGUGAAGAGGGAAACAACCCAGACCGCCAGCUAAGGUCCCAAAGUCAUGGUUAAGUGGGAAACGAUGUGGGAAGGCCCAGACAGCCAGGAUGUUGGCUUAGAAGCAGCCAUCAUUUAAAGAAAGCGUAAUAGCUCACUGGUCGAGUCGGCCUGCGCGGAAGAUGUAACGGGGCUAAACCAUGCACCGAAGCUGCGGCAGCGACGCUUAUGCGUUGUUGGGUAGGGGAGCGUUCUGUAAGCCUGUGAAGGUGUGCUGUGAGGCAUGCUGGAGGUAUCAGAAGUGCGAAUGCUGACAUAAGUAACGAUAAAGCGGGUGAAAAGCCCGCUCGCCGGAAGACCAAGGGUUCCUGUCCAACGUUAAUCGGGGCAGGGUGAGUCGACCCCUAAGGCGAGGCCGAAAGGCGUAGUCGAUGGGAAACAGGUUAAUAUUCCUGUACUUGGUGUUACUGCGAAGGGGGGACGGAGAAGGCUAUGUUGGCCGGGCGACGGUUGUCCCGGUUUAAGCGUGUAGGCUGGU